AUAUUGCCUGGCAGGAAAGAGAUGAUUAUCAUGCAACUGACAUUCCUGGGGUGGGGCUUAUCCAUUGCUUUCCAGAUGUGCUAACCCUGUGAUUUCCCCAGCUGUGAGGCACUCAGCUACAUUUUUGCAGUAGUAGGGAAACAGCAUUCAUCCUCUCUCCUAU
rnacentral:snRNA from 1 species